CAAUAGAAUGUGUGAAAUCAACAAGGGGAAUAUUCUGAAAAUAUAUUGCACUGUUUACAAAUACAAACAAAAUAAGGACGAUUUCGAGCACCUCCUAUAAAGGUUCAACUCAUUUCGAGGAUGUGGGUUAUUUAUUUUGUCCUCACAUGAUGAAAGACUUGGGAAUAUCGUUGCCUACACCUGAUUCGAAGGAUUAUAAAAUGAUAAAUUACAUAACGCAGCUGUGGGCAGAUUUUGCUAAAACAGGAAAUCCAACGCCUGUUAUUUCGGAUUUGUGUCCUAUUAAAUGGAUACCGCUGAAAAGUGCAAAUGUAUACCAUUAUCUAGACAUCGAUAUAGAACUUCAGAUGAAAGUUUUCCGUAAAGGAGAACAACGUUGGAACUGGGAAAAUAUUAAAAAAAAUAUAUAAACAAUUAUAUACACAUUGCUGAGAACUGCUUUUACAGUUCAGAGUAUAUAUAUUAUUGAACUUUUCGGAAUGGAUUCUGAUUAGAAUUAUUCCGUUUUCUCCAGAAAACGUAAUAAAAAUCUAGGAAAUAACUAAACAAUUUCGGUCAAAAUCCAUUUCGAAAAAUUUUAUAAUAUGUGUCCAAGAGGGAUCUUAGUUUAAAAAAAACAGGUAAAAUUUUUGUUGAAAUAAUAACCAAUAACAUGACGUUCUAAUCUCUCGGAAUUAGUGAUUAGUGCAGUUUCUUAAGAGAAAAAAUAAAGAGGAAAAGAUCGGUACAUGGUGCAAUAUGAUCCGUUUGAAUACGAUUAAUCCUUAUUAGUUGAUUGUGGAUCAGAUGUUCAGGAAAGGAUUUUAGAUAUUAUAAAAAGUAAAUGAGUCAUGAGGUAAGGGCUUAGACAAAUAGUGGGCUUAUUGGAGUAUUUGUUUGGGAAAACUGCUUAUAAAAACUGUUUGGAAUAGAAAUCAUAAAUAUUUAAAAAUAUUUAAAAUGAGUUGCGACACGCAACAGCGCACAAAAUAUGUGCACGAUUUUUUAUAUUAAAAGGAUCAACUUUUUCUUAUGACAAAAUCACAUUUGUGUAGUUUUUUUUAAAUGAAAGCCAGUAUCAGAGAUUUACUUAUGUGACCGUUUUUGAAUAAAAAGUUUGGCAUAUUGUGUUUAAGACAAACACUUUAUUUUCAAUCAAAGUAUGCACCCAUAUUAUUAAUACAUUUUUGCUAUUUCAAUGGUAAAAUCAAAGGCACUUUCGACAGCCUCUUGUGAAUUAAAUUUCUUCUCGUGUAAAAAGUUGUUCAAAUUCCAAAAGAAGUAGUCUGUUGGUGUAAGGUCUGGGGAAUAUGGCGGUUAACGGAGAGUUUCCAAUUAUAGCUCUUGCAAUUUUGAUACAAUUUUUUGUAAAAUAUGUGGUCGCGCGUUAUCAUGAAACAAGAUAGGGGAAGAGUGAUUGAUUAAUCUCGAUUAUUAUAUUUAAUUGCAAGCUUCUCCAUCAUGGUUUACAAUUCCUUGCAGUUACAUCUACCGUAAUCAAAGUUUUAUCCCAAGUUUUAUGAAACUGAAAUAAAUAACACCGGCAGAGGAUCACCAAACAGUGAUUAUAAGCUUCUUCUGGUAGACGUUUCAGGCACUGUUUUGGUAAUGUUUGAACUUCUAAUGCUCCUGACCGAAUACCUAGAAGUAUCUCUCCCAAAUUAUGUUCAAACAGCGACAAGUCGCAGUAGGGCGAAUAGUCCGCAAGAAGCACACAGUAAAGUUUAGCACCCUUUGGUUUAUUGCACUCUGGUCUAACUACAGAUUGAUUAUCAAAACUAAAAAUCGCAUGUGUUUUUGGAACAUGUCCCUUUCGGCAAGUGCCGGCGUAAUGCGCCUUUAUUUCUCACUUCUCUCUUCCGCUUAUCGUUAAACUACUCAAUCGACAAGCCAUCUGAACUAGAGCCUGGAAAGGAGAAAUAACAUGGACGCGACUCGCGAGCGUUACUACGAAUUCGGAAUUGGGGAAUAUUCCAAGCAGGUGCUUUACUUGGACCCAACUAUUGCAAUUUUCGUACAGGAUCCAUUUUUUAUCACAAUUAAUAACAAUUCGAUUAAAAAAUUCAUUUUUGUUUUGACAGCAAAAUACAGACUUUAAAACGUGCUCUUUUGGGCGUUCGUUCAAUUCGUGUGGCAUCUACUUUUUCAACUUUUUUAUUUUACCAUUUUGAUUUCAAAUGACCAAUAUUGUUUUAAUACUAAAAUUAAACCUUGUUGCUAAUUCACCCAAAGUUUGAGAUGGAUCCGCUUCCACUAUCGCCUUUAAUUCAUCAUUAUCGACCUUCGUCUCAGGUCGCACACACGACUCAUUCUCGAGAUCACCAGAAACAAAAACGAUUAAACCAAUAACGGACUGUACAAGUUAGAGUCAGGCAAGUAUAUUUAAUUGUUUCACUCUAACUUAUUGCGAAUGUGCACCAGUUAAGGAAUUCCUUCGAAAAAGAAUAGACGCCAUAGUAUAAAUGGUACAUGUAUAAAGCUUCUAGAACAUUCUGACGCAUGUCUCAAAGACAUCAUAAACACGUUCAAAAGACGUGAAAAGUAGGAAUUUUAAAUUUUAUUAUUAAAAAAAACGUUUCUAUAAUAGUUUCUUUAACGUUAUUUUAUCGGGAAAGAAACGUUCGAUCGAAUGAUGUUCAAAAUUGGCGUUUAAUGAAAGCGAUUCUCUAUUGAUCGUUGUCACAAAGCGAGCGUCAGGGUGACACAUACAUGAAGCGCGGAAACGCGGAAACGCGGAAGAUAAAAUUUACUAGAUUCCCGCGUUUUGAUUGCCUUAUAUUACAUAUAGAGCACAAUUUGUGCGGAAAAGCGGAACGGUAUGUGACAAAUAGACAUUUGUAUUCAUUUCUUUUAAUUGUGUUCACUUAAUUUAUUGCAAUUUUUAUUAAUAUGCCAUGCUUAUCUUUUUAGCUUAUUUAUUGAAUACAAGCAUUUUAAUCAAUAAAUACCGUUAAAAAUUAACAUUUUAUAAUUCUCGGUUCCGCUUUUCCGCUCAAAAUAUGCCAUGUAAUAUAAGGCAAUCAAAACAGACGGAACGGAACGCGGGAAUCUAGUACAUUUGUCUUCCGCGUUUCAGUGUUUCCGCGACUCCGCGUUUUCGCGUUUUCGCAUUUCCGCGUUUCCGUGCUUCAUGUACUGUUAAGAAUAAAUGUUAAUCGCGUUUCCUGUUUUACGUGAUGCUAGUGAUUGUAUAUUGACAUGUUUAUCGAUAAGUCCGUACUUGCAGAAAUCGAGAUGAGCGCCGAGCCUAUUCCUGUUAGCAUGCGCGCGCACCAAAUCUCGAGCAAGCCGGUCUCGCCUAGCGACUGAACAGUCGCAGUCCGGAAACAUGAGAGCAAACACGCGCCAUACAUUGUAAUAUAAUGAAGCUUAUAUAUAGACAGCAACAAGUGAAAUUAACCCGUUUCUCUCCCGCUCCGUUUCAUGCAACUAUUCUGCUCUAACAGGUGUUGUAAUUUCAGUUCUUUACUGUAAAUUUAACGAAACCGUCGUGAGUUGAAUCGAUUUCUCACCGUAGUAAGUAACGCGAUCAUAUAUAACUAUCUACGUUAAAUGAUUACUGUAUAAGGGAAUGUAAAAGGUUUAAUGGUUAUUUUAUGAUACAUAAGUGUAGAGGGAUAGUAAAGGAUGGAAUACAGCAAAAUACAAGUGCAUAGCUCUUAUA